rnacentral:rRNA from 1 species
UACGUAGGGUGCGAGCGUUGUCCGGAAUUACUGGGCGUAAAGAGCUCGUAGGUGGUUUGUCGCGUUGUUCGUGAAAACCCGGGGCUCAACUCCGGGCCUGCAUUCGAUACGGGCAGACUAGAGUUCGGUAGGGGAGACUGGAAUUCCUGGUGUAGCGGUGAAAUGCGCAGAUAUCAGGAGGAACACCGGUGGCGAAGGCGGGUCUCUGGGCCGAUACUGACGCUGAGGAGCGAAAGCGUGGGGAGCGAACAGG